rnacentral:lncRNA from 1 species
UCCUAUAUUUCUGCCCAGCAACUGUCUGAUGCACUGUAGCAACAGUUGUCGGAACUCCCCCUGUGUUCAUGCCAUUUGUUACUGUUCUUUUCUCCCCCUUUCUGGGCAAUCACCAUGCAUAGAUAACGCAACAUGGACUAAUGAUCUUGAUGAUUCGAGCAAGCUGUUCAAACACUUAACAAAAAGAUCAAACGAAGAGAGA